rnacentral:rRNA from 1 species
UCCAGACUCCUACGGGAGGCAGCAGUGGGGAAUAUUGCACAAUGGGGGAAACCCUGAUGCAGCGACGCCGCGUGAGUGAAGAAGUAUUUCGGUAUGUAAAGCUCUCUCAGCAGGGAAGAAAAUGACGGUACCUGACCAAGAAGCCCCGGCUAACUACGUGCCAGCAGCCGCGGUAAUACGUAGGGGGCAAGCGUUAUCCGGAUUUACUGGGUGUAAAGGGAGCGUAGACGGUUGUGCAAGUCAGAAGUGAAAGCCCGGGGCGCAACUCCGGGACUGCUUUUGAAACUGUCAGGCUGGAGUACAGGAGAGGUAAGCGGAAUUCCUAGUGUAGCGGUGAAAUGCGUAGAUAUUAGGAGGAACACCAGUGGCGAAGGCGGCUUACUGGACUGUAACUGACACUGAGGCACGAAAGCGUGGGGAGCAAGCAGGAUUAGAUACCCUGGUAAA